GGGGGAGAGGACCGUGCCCUAGUUGGGUUCACAGCCGCCGCCGCUCCUCUGCCCUAGCCUCAGCCGACGCCCCACUCCGAUGCUGACAGCCACCACCAAGCCCAUUUUCCCCUUCUGAUUCUUCACUACCGGUCGUGGUUGCUGCUCUCCUCUAGGACAGUCACUGGAAUUGGAGUUCUCUCCGACCACUGAUCUUCUUCUUCGGGUCGUGGACAGAAGCAGAGCAUUCAAGUCGUUCCUGUGGUCCCGUUUUGUUGUACCGUGCCCUAGCAGUGGUUAAAGUGGAGGAUGUUUCGGUCGCGAGGCAACUGUAGAGUCCUCAGAUUUGGGAGGGACAGUGAUUUCAUCUACGCUGGCAGAGAGUUAUACCAGCUAUACGUCAUUGGUGGAGCCAUCAAUUCUGGAUUUGAGUUGGAUGCGAUCUCUUGGACUUGUUA